rnacentral:rRNA from 1 species
CCUACGGGGGGCUGCAGUGGGGAAUAUUGGACAAUGGGGGGAACCCUGAUCCAGCCAUGCCGCGUGUGUGAAGAAGGCCCUCGGGUUGUAAAGCACUUUCAGUGAGGAAGAACGCCUGGUGGUUAAUAUCCAUCAGGAAAGACAUCACUCACAGAAGAAGCACCGGCUAACUCCGUGCCAGCAGCCGCGGUAAUACGGAGGGUGCGAGCGUUAAUCGGAAUUACUGGGCGUAAAGCGCGCGUAGGUGGCUUGAUAAGCCGGUUGUGAAAGCCCCGGGCUCAACCUGGGAACGGCAUCCGGAACUGUCAAGCUAGAGUGCAGGAGAGGAAGGUAGAAUUCCCGGUGUAGCGGUGAAAUGCGUAGAGAUCGGGAGGAAUACCAGUGGCGAAGGCGGCCUUCUGGACUGACACUGACACUGAGGUGCGAAAGCGUGGGUAGCAAACAGGAUUAGAUACCCGGGUAGUC